GACGAACGCUGGCGGCGCGCUUAACACAUGCAAGUCGAACGGAAAGGCCUGCUUUCCCUUGUGGAUUGCGGGUACUCGAGUGGCGAACGGGUGAGUAACACGUGAGUGAUCUGCCCCCAACUUGGGUAUAAGCCUGGGAAACUGGGUCUAAUUCCCGAUAGGACUGCAGGGUGGUGCCUGUGGUGGAAAACGAUUUUCUAGUGGUUGGGGAUGAGCUCGCGGCCUAUCAGCUUGUUGGUGGGGUAAUGGCCUACCAAGGCGGCGACGGGUAGCCGGCCUGAGAAGGUGGACGGCCACAUUGAGACUGAGAUACGGCCCAGACUCCUACGGGAGGCAGCAGUGGGGAAUAUUGGACGAUGGGCGGAAGCCUGAUGCAGCGACGCCGCGUGGGGGAUGACGGCCUUCGGGUUGUAAACUCCUUUCGACCGCGAGGAAGCCACCUGGUUGGGAGGGUGGUGACGGUAGUGGUAGAAGAAGCACCGGCUAACUACGUG
rnacentral:rRNA from 1 species